GAGUCAGUAAGAGCAGUAUUGUCCUCGGUACAGGCUAGGCGACACACUCUGUAGAGCCUCUCUAGUGCGAUCUGUCCGCUAAACAACCUAUCCGACGGUGUGUGUUAUGAUGGCGCAGUGGUGACGCUCUGGAGACAAGGUCAUUUACGAACAUAACAACCAGGACACAGGACAUUGGCAUCGGCGGAAGUUCAUUAACGCCAUCACAACGCGAUGGCGGUGGAAUAGGGAAGGCCUUGCGGAACAUGAGACAUCCGCGAGAGUGCUACGUAACGCACCACGGUCUGGAGAGACUGGAUGUGUCCGAGUGUUCUGUGUUUACACAACGGAUCUGAAAUCGAUCGAUUUUGAUUUACGGACAUCCGCGGGGGGACUGCUCCACGGUUAUGCCACGUUUUGGCGCAAAACUCCGUGCAGUUGGCCGUGCCGUAAUCGGAUUGUUCCGCUUGGUUGCCGGAUAAGCAAUCGGGUUGACUACCGACCGAUGCCGACGCACUCAAGGCAGGACGGGGAACAGUUGGCCGCGAAAAAGUUGGAGUCGCGUCUAUAUCUGCGUGCGUGAUAAGUGUAAUCAAAAGUUUGUGUUCGUGCGCCCACCGGAAGAACGCGUAAUAGAUAAAGAGAUACUCCUUCAGACGGGAUAAGGACGGCUGGCAAAAUGGCCGAAGCGGAACCCCUGUCACCGUCGGCGUCCUCGUUCAAGCAGAACUUUGAUCUCGUGACACCCGAGUUUGAAGUGGAUCCGAAGGUCCUGUGGGGCCGAGUACCGGUGCCACCAUUCGUCUCCGAUAAGGUGGUGACGUGGGUCGAGGAGAACUUCCCCCAUCAGCCAGCGGCACCGGUCGAGUUUCGUGGUCAGAACGUCGUGAGGAAGAUCGAAAAUGUUCGCAUGAUUGACAGAUACAACAGCAAAAAUCCGACCGUCGGUGUCCUGUACCUUACGGCCACGCAUCUCAUAUUCGUCGAUCCGGAUGCCAACAAGGAGACCUGGGUCCUGUACAUGCACAUUGCGAACGUGGAAAAGCUGCCGCUGAGCACGACCGGCUCACCAUUGUUGAUUCGCUGCAAGACGUUCCUCUCAAUCACGUUCGUCAUACCGAAGGAGCGUGAAUGUCACGAUGUCUACACCACACUGACGAAGCUCUAUCAACCGGUGCACAUCAAGAACCUGUACUGCUUCCAGUACACGACUGCCACUAAGGAGCUCUCAAAGGCCACCGGUUGGGACUACUUCAAGCUGGAGAGCGAAUUCAAACGGAUGCGCGUUCCGAAUGAGCAGUGGAGUGCCUGCACACUGAAUCAAAGCUAUGAGCUGUGCGAUACGUAUCCGCAGCAGAUUUAUGUCCCGGCCGAGGCCAACACCCAGAUACUGCUCGGUAGUUCACGUUUCCGCUCCAAGGGUCGGCUACCGGCACUUACCUAUCUGCAUGCCAACAAGGCAUCGAUCUGCCGAUGCAGCCAACCCCUGUCCGGUUUCAGUGCCCGCUGUCUAGAGGAUGAGCAGAUGCUGGAAACGAUCCGCAAGACCAAUCCGAACUACAGCUUCAUGUAUGUCGUUGAUACGCGGCCACGGAUUAAUGCCAUGGCGAAUCGGGCCGCCGGUAAGGGAUACGAGAACGAGGCAAACUACGAAAAUAUCAAGUUCCAGUUUCUCGGCAUCGAAAACAUCCACACAAUGCGUACCAGUCUGCAGAAGCUGAUAGAGUGUUGCGAACAGAAGUCACCCACAAUGAGUGGCUUCCUGAGUGCACUGGAAUCCUCCGGUUGGCUAAAACACAUUCGAUCGAUACUGGAUACAUCGUGCUUCAUCGCAAACGCCGUUGAUAAAGGUAUCUCGGUGGUGGUGCAUUGUUCCGAUGGUUGGGAUCGUACCGCACAAGUUUGCUCUCUGGCGGCACUCAUGCUGGAUCCGUACUACAGGACGAUUAAAGGCUUUCAGGCAUUAAUCGAGAAAGACUGGCUAGCAUUUGGUCACAAGUUCAGCGACCGUUGUGGACACAUUCAGAACGAUCCAAAAGAGGUGUCCCCGGUGUUUACCCAGCUGCUCGAUUGUAGCUGGCAACUGAUGCAGCAGCGCAACGAUGCGUUUGAGUUUAAUGAAAGAUUUCUGCUGAUCCUACACGAUCACGUCAUGUCCUGCCAGUACGGUACGUUCGUGGGCAAUUGUGAGAAGGACCGGCUCGAUCUCCGGCUGGCCGAAAAAACGUUCUCCCUGUGGGGCUUCAUGUCAAACCAUCUCAACGAGUACAUUAACCCACUCUAUCGGCCCGAAAUGGACGAAACCAUCAAGCCCAAUCUGGCACCACAAAACAUUAAGUUCUGGCGCGGCAUGUAUAGCCGGUUCGAGAGUGGCAUUCAUCCGCGGGAACCGCUGGAGGAUCUGCUUAUUGCCAGCAAGGACCAUUGUACCUCGCUCGAAGAUCACGUACAGCAUCUAACCAAACGCAUCAACAGCUUCAAGAACAUGCUCUCAAAGUCGGCCAAACGGUUACAAGGAGGUGUUAGUACUGGUGGAUCCCGCCACACCGACAAUCGUGGACCACCAAUCGAGGUGAACGAUAAUCGCUACAACUAUGAUCGCAAGCUAAGCGAACUGUCGGCCGCCGACGAUGAUCAUCCGCUGAAGACGAGCGAUUUCUCAUUUUCUAAUCUUUCGAUCUCUGAGUACAAUAACGAUGUGGAAAAGGUGAACGAUGAAGUCAAUUCUGUGGCCGUCGAAUGGAAAUCGUUGCGAUCGGUCGUAAACUGUCCCUCUUGUUCGAUACCGUUUGAUCAGAUUACUAAAAAGAAUCACUGCUGGAAGUGUGGUGAGGUGUUCUGCAACCGCUGUCUUGACAAGACCCUAUCGUUGCCGGGGCAUGAGAGUGGAAACCCCGUACCGGUUUGUCGGCACUGUUUCCGUCUCGUGCAGCAAGUAAGUCCGUAAAGUCUAUAUUACGCCCGCUGUAAUUGAGCUACCGUAUAUUCUCUCUGGAACGGUAGGCGCGCUGGUUGCAUACUUGAUCCACCAUUACUCUAAAUCGGCUAAUUUACAUCGAAAAAAUCACACUUUUACAAUUUACAUCACACAUUUUCCUUGGCUCUAUAAGAAACAUUCUUUUAGGUUCAAUCCAAACAUCAUCCAAAAGUUCAAAAUAGCAGAAUUUAAGUUAAGACCAAAGCAUAGAAGGGCUAAAUAGAGAACCGCUGGCUUGCAUGGAUCGGAAGGGGAUUCAUGUGCCGCGUUGAAGGGCUGUUGAUCUUAGCUGUUAGUUGUUUAUCAUAAAAUAGCCGCAACAGGCGAGCGAACCAUAUACAUAUAAAUGCACAUGCAUUAAUGCAACACAGCUGUAGAGCACCUGUGGUGAAUGACAUUGUUGUGGCAGUGCGGAAGCAUGCAUGCGAAGAGCCAUGUGUAUAGUCGUGAGAGCCAGAGUCAACAUGAUUCAACAGGCGAGCUUAUUGCUUGGCACUUGGAUGUAUUCGAUCCGAUUAUUAGUAUGAUAGCUAUUAAUGAGAGGCUGUAUUCUUCCGUUGUGAGAAUCAAAGGUAAAGUUCUCUUACUGGAGGGAUUAAACAAGCGGGCAUCAUGGUCCCGAAAAAGCAUACGCACAUAAAAUGCAGGCGUUACGAGUUAGGACGGUGGUUUAUGUUUAAUUUAUUUACCGUGCGUGAGUCACUGCAUAAUAUGAUUUCACGCGAAAAUGUUCCACUCUUUCCUAGAUCCGUUGCCAAUUCUAGUUUGCUAAGUAUUUUCCCUUUUAUUGCCUUCAGUAUUGUCUCUGUAUUGUUGGCUUCAGAGGAGGGGCUUUUUCUAAGCGUUUAUUGAUAAUUCGUAAGAAUGAAAGCAAAACAAUGCAAUGCCACUACUCUUCAAAAGAACUACUUUAUUACGGCGGCACUAGUGGAACACAUAACUAAGCAAGGCUGCUAAAAGAUAAGUGUAUGUGACUAACAUCACAAAAGUGUAAUAAAAACUGUUGCUCUCGGUCAGCUCAAUAUGUUUCAUGAAGAACAUCCACGAUAAAAUGGGAUACAAAAUGAAGGCGAAAUACAAUUUUCAUUCGCUGACGUGUUUUUGUUCGGCGGCUGUAGCGAUAAUAUCACUUAAAUCUAUUGGCCCUGUGUGAUUGAAUUUCGUAACGCAAUUAAAUUAGUGGCAAUCCGUAAUCAUAAUUCACAUCUCACUGCCGACAUCCUUUUACGCCGAUCGUGACAUUCCAAGCGUUAUAAAACCAACCGGAUAGCACGGAUGCCUUGCCUAUUACGGAGGAUUAUAAAAGCCACUCUGCUAUCUUCUUACUCCGUUACAUCUCUUUGUGCCCUUCAGUAACUAACAUGGAAGCGAUUUACCUUACCAUAUUCACUCUGCGAGGGAUCAUGGCAUUCGCGUUAGUUCUGCUUCUUGCAUCGACCUUCACACAUCACAGUACACUCGCAAGCCCAGCUGCAGCCGCUUUAGAUGCGGUAGCAUCAUCAGUGAACACAGCUUCCAGUGGCGCAUUAGAGACAUCUUCCGAUGCGACAUCCAUCACCGAUGCACUGGGGCGCAAGAUCUUUCUGCCAGUAUUUCGCAACAAAAAGAACCCGGUGCUCCAGCGACGACGUGCGCAAACCCGGCCGCCAGCUACUGGGCGCCAGUAAGGAUUCCGAUGCCCUCGUGCCCAACGUUCGAAGGCUCGUGGCGAACCAUUUAGUAUGCCCUCGCGAAUUGAUCGAACCUCAACCGCGAUCAAGACCCUUAUACUACUACAGUGCGGUGGUGUGUCUAUCAAAAUCGUUGUUUAAUCUGUGUGUAUGUACCUUAUGUUUUCAUCUCACUCGUUGCCUCGAACCUCAGCAAUAGUUCAAACAUCGCACGUGAUUGAACGCCUCUUGUUUGACCGUGUCAUUAUACCGGAGAACUGCCUGUUAUUCUCCUGGAACUGAGCCAAUGCAAUGUUGCAAUUUAGCGUUCCCACAAUUCUGGGAAUUCCGUUGCGUCUUGACGAAUGCGUAAGGCGUAAUACUCUGGCCGCAUUUUGGUGGGCCGAUCGGGGUUCAGCAUGCCAUAAGGAAUUAGCACUUUAUUGACAAAUUUUUCACAGCAUUUUGGGGAGCUGAUCGAAAACCCGCAGUACGGUUGUCUUUGGGUAGCUCUCAAAUGUUAUUUAUACUUUGCUAGGGUGUGUUCUCUAUACACCAUCUGUCGAAUGGCACGUGUUUGACGUCAAUUAUUAGCUUCGUAUGAGAAGUUUUUGUGCCAUCCACAACUCAGCUUUUAUGCUAAAACAGGAACUACAGAAGCGUUUUGUUCUAAUUAGCCCAUUUACACUAACAGGCAAUGCGAAACUUGUGUGUUUGGCCAAUCAAUUCUUCAUCAUUAGAUGGCGCACCAGAUUGCUGAAGCUUAAAAUUCGGUCAAUAAUUAGCAGAGUGUGAUAUUUGAUUAUAGCACAAUCGAACAAUCGAGUACCUUCGGCAUUAGGAGAUCAGUAUUUCGUAAUAGCGAAUAACGAGCCUUGCAGCUAAAUCUUGUAGCAGAAUUCAGGCA